rnacentral:rRNA from 1 species
UACGUAGGGGGCUAGCGUUGUCCGGAAUCAUUGGGCGUAAAGCGCGCGUAGGCGGCCCUGUUAGUCCGCUGUAAAAGUCAAAGGCUCAACCUUUGAAUGCCGGUGGAUACUGCAGGGCUAGAGUCCGGAAGAGGCGAGUGGAACUCCUGGUGUAGCGGUGGAAUGCGCAGAUAUCAGGAAGAACACCCGUGGCGAAGGCGGCUCUCUGGGACGGUACUGACGCUGAGACGCGAAAGCGUGGGGAGCGAACAGG